rnacentral:tRNA from 1 species
UGCAAGCGUGGCGGAACUGGUAUACGCGCUGGUCUUAGGAACCAGUCUCGCAAGAGGUGAGGGUUCGAUUCCCUCCGCUUGCAU